GACGUAGGCACCAAGCGUUGUCCGGAUUUUAUUUGGGCGUAAAGAGCUCGUAGGCGGUUUCAGUAAGUCAGGUGUGAAAUCUUUUGGGCUUAACCCAAAGCGUGCACUUGAUACUGCUGUGACUUGAGUUCGGGUAGGGGGAGUGGGGGAAUUCCUAGUGUAGCGGUGAAAUGCGCAGAUAUUAGGAGGAACACCGGUGGCGAAGGCGCCACUCUGGGCCGAAACUGACGCUGAGGAGCGAAAGCGUGGGUAGCAAACAGG
rnacentral:rRNA from 1 species